AAUCAGUUUAAUUGAGGUCUGGAGCUGGCAUGUCAGUUAACUGCUAGUAGUCUGUUGUUAUUUAUGUAUUAUUGUCAUUUUAUUUAUUUUCUUUUGUUACAUCUUUUGACAUCAGACUCGGACUUCUCUUGAACUGAAUUUUAAUGUUCGUAUUGUUAUUCUUUUACUUUUCUACAUUGGCUAGAGGUAUAGGGGGAGGGUUGAGAUCUCAUAAAUGUUUUAACCCCGCCGCAAUUUUGCGCCUGUCCAAGUCAGGCCUCUGGCCUUUGUUAUCUUGUAUGAUUUUAAAUUUUAGUUUCUUGUGUAUAAUUCGGAGUUUAGUAUGACGUCCAUUAUCACUGUACUAUUAUGC
rnacentral:lncRNA from 1 species